AAGAACUCUCUUUCUGCCAUCUCUCUCUCUCUCUCUCUCUAUCGGAGUCCACUCAGAUUGGAGAUCGGAGAGGUUGGCCGGCCGAUUUCCGGUUGCUUCCUGUUGCCUCGGGUCGCCGGCGUUUCGAUGGCAACGAACGGCGCGGAGGGAGAGAGGGAGGACCGGGUGAAGAUGGAGGAGGAGAGGAGGCGGAAUGUGGUGUACAUGUGCGGUUAUCUCCCCGGAGCCUCGCCGGAGAAGUCGCCGAUGCUCUCUCGACGCCGGCGCGGGACCCCGGCGGAGACUCGUGGAAGGACGUCUUCGGCGGCGGCUGCGGGUUCGCCAUGGCGGUCUCAGAUUCUGGAAAGCUAAUUACUUGGGGUUCAGCAGAUGAUGAAGGUCAAAGCUACAUGACAUCAGGAAAGCAUGGGGAUACUCCAGAGCCUUUUCCUCUCCCUACUCAAGCGUUGGUUUUGAAGGCUGCUGCUGGUUGGGCUCAUUGUGUUACAGUAACAGG